GACGAACGCUGGCGGCGUGCUUAACACAUGCAAGUCGAACGGAAAGGCCUCUUUCGGGGGGUACUCGAGUGGCGAACGGGUGAGUAACACGUGAGUAACCUGCCCUUGACUUUGGGAUAACUUCAGGAAACGGGGGCUAAUACCGGAGAGGAGCUCUUGCUGCAUGGUGGGGGCUGGAAAGUUUCGGCGGUUGGGGAUGGACUCGCGGCUUAUCAGCUUGUUGGUGGGGUAGGGGCUUACCAAGGCUUUGACGGGUAGCCGGCCUGAGAGGGUGACCGGCCACAUUGGGUCUGAGAUACGGCCCGGACUCCUACGGGAGGCAGCAGUGGGGAAUGUUGCACAAUGGGUGGAAGCCUGAUGCAGCAACGCCGUGUGCGGGAUGACGGCCUGCGGUUUGUAAACCGCUUUCGCCUGUGACGAAGCGUGAGUGACGGUAAUGGGUAAAGAAGCCCCGGCUAACUACGUG
rnacentral:rRNA from 1 species